GUCGCUUCAGCCGCACAUAUACUAAAAUUGGAAUGAUACAGAGAAGAUUAGCAUGGUUCCUGUGCAAGAAUGAUAUACAAAUUCAUGAAACAUUGCACAUUUUU